CACUAGGAAGCUAAUUAGGGCUUUAGCGUUAGCCUUUUAAGCUAAAAGCGGGUGACUCCCAACCACCCCUAGUGA
rnacentral:tRNA from 1 species